GGGGAAGCAUCUUCGUUCGUCUCUCUCGGAGCUUUUCUUCCGGUGGUCGACCUCAACCUAGCUACGGCCUACGGGUUCAUCCACUAGUUCACCUGCUCAAGCACUGCACCCGCAUCGCUCUGGAUACCGUUGCAGCGUCGCUUGGUGGAUCUCUCACCCGAAGAUGUCGUGCCGUGCUUUCUGCCGCUUCGCUUCACCGCCACGAGCCUACAUCACCACAAGGGAAACAAAACGAAACGAUCGUGUGCAGUACCUGUUAGAGAAUUAGGCAAUUUUCAUAUCAUUUUAAUUCCAUAAAUCAAGAUUAUGAUGAUGACAUAUAUAAUAUAAUUAAUCAUAUAAAUCAUCACCAUUGAACAUGUUCGUAACAAUAUGGAACAUGUGAUUAUUAAAAAUAUAAAAACAUAAUAUAUGAAACAUAAUAACAAGAUAAGACAUAUAUCUCAAAUCAAAACAGCAAUAAACAAGAGACUACAUGUUCAACGACGAAACAAAACUACUGAAACAUAUGGAAAACAGUAUAUCAAACGACGUGACAGAACCACUACACAACAGCAUAUGAAACAUUUUGAAUUAACCAGCGAAACAAGCAGACAUGACAUAGAUCUUACAACAUACCCAUAUAUAAGAUAGAAACUGAAAAGAUAUGGUAGAACACCAGGAUAGUAUGCGCAACAACAUGAAAACACUACUGCAACAUGUACGAACAGGAAAACGAAACGCAGCCGGAAGAUGAACGGAUCAUACCCUCCCAUGCGCUCCGAGGAUCCCGAUCCUUGACCAACUUCCAUGAUGUAGACGAUGAAGACGAUCUUUCCACCGGGAAGGAGAAAUCCGCCCGAACCAGCUUGAGGAAGACGAACAACAGCGAGGAAGAUGAACAACAACGAUGGAUUGGACAGUCGCGUAGUCGCUCCCCAAAAACCUAAUUAUCGAUCCCUCGUGCAAGGUCUCGAACGGCAAAGGCUUCGGAGGCAUCUGCCCUCUCGCUCGUCGCGCGGAGUUACGAGAUAGAGAUUCCUUCUUUGCAACAGGA
rnacentral:lncRNA from 1 species